rnacentral:rRNA from 1 species
AUUGAACGCUGGCGGCAGGCUUAACACAUGCAAGUCGAGCGGGGUGAUGGUGCUUGCACUAUCACUUAGCGGCGGACGGGUGAGUAAUGCUUAGGAAUCUGCCUAUUAGUGGGGGACAACAUCUCGAAAGGGAUGCUAAUACCGCAUACGUCCUACGGGAGAAAGCAGGGGAUCACUUGUGACCUUGCGCUAAUAGAUGAGCCUAAGUCGGAUUAGCUAGUUGGUGGGGUAAAGGCCUACCAAGGCGACGAUCUGUAGCGGGUCUGAGAGGAUGAUCCGCCACACUGGGACUGAGAGACGGCCCAGAAUCCUACGGGAGGCAGCAGUGGGGAAUAUUGGACAAUGGGGGGAACCCUGAUCCAGCCAUGCCGCGUGUGUGAAGAAGGCCUUAUGGUUGUAAAGCACUUUAGGCGAGGAGGAGGCUCUUUUGGUUAAUACCCAAGAUGAGUGGACGUUACUCGCAGAAUAAGCACCGGCUAACUCUGUGCCAGCCGCCGCCGUAA